rnacentral:rRNA from 1 species
GACGAACCGUGCGAACGUUGUUCGGAAUCACUGGGCUUAAAGGGCGCGUAGGCGGGUCGAGAAGUCCGUGGUGAAAUCCCUCCGCUCAACGGGGGAACGGCCGCGGAUACUGUCGGCCUCGAGGAAGGUAGGGGCGAGCGGAACGCUGGGAGGAGCGGUGAAAUGCGUUGAUAUCCAGCGGAACUCCGGUGGCGAAGGCGGCUCGCUGGGCCUUCUCUGACGCUGAGGAACGAAAGCCAGGGGAGCGAACGGG